AAUAUCUCUCCAGAUAAAGCAUAUUCAACCGGAUCGGUAAGAAUAACAAAUUUUUCAUUUCUAAUUUAUUUUAAAUUGUAUUGACAUAUUCUAACAUUCUAAUUUUUUCCAAUUUUUCAGUACAAUUUUAUUAAAAUGAUUCGGGAUCGAUGUGCUCCAACAAAUGUGUUUCCAAAUCCAUUGCAGCCACUCAAUGACGUCUAUCAAAACUGCAAUGAGAAGAUGGAAGCGUUUUCUCAACUACUUCCAACCGCCUUCUCCUCAAGUACUUCCCAAGCUCCUCCUACACAACAGUUUCAAAUGUCUGUUGCACCUAAGUUUCAACAACAUUAUGAGAGUUAAAAUCAGACGGAUACUUAUCUGCAGGCAUACACUCAAACUCAUGCUCCUCAACAACAACAACAACAACAACAACCCUUUGGUUUGAAGGUUUCAGAGCAAUUGGUGACUACUCCUUCUCUCACUUAGCAUCUUCUUCGCAAUUUCAAGGAAUACCAUCAAUGUUUGACACUACUUCAAAUACUCCAUUGUCAGCAAUCAACAAUAUCAUCAACCGACAAUCCCUUCACAACCUGACAAAGACGAUGAAGAUGAUGACAACGAAGAUGAGGAGCAACCACAAUCAGUUAGAGGUGGAAGACAACAUCAAUCACAACAACAACAACUAAGAGUCCAACCACCUCGAAGGAGGAAGGCCCCUGGAUGUGGAACAUCAUUUCAUAGGCGUCAUUAGGAAUUUCUAUUCUCUUU
rnacentral:lncRNA from 1 species